AAACCAACAGGGAUUGCCUCAGUAACGGCGAGUGAAGCGGCAAAAGCUCAAAUUUGAAAUCUAGCACUUUCAGUGUUCGAGUUGUAAUUUGAAGAAAGUCUCCUUGAAUAGUCCUUUAUCUAUGUUCCUUGGAACAGGACGUCAUAGAGGGUGAGAACCCCGUAUGAUUUUGGAUCCUAUUCUCUGUGGGAGUCUUUCGAAGAGUCGAGUUGUUUGGGAAUGCAGCUCUAAGUGGGUGGUAAAUUCCAUCUAAAGCUAAAUAUUGGCGAGAGACCGAUAGCGAACAAGUACAGUGAUGGAAAGAUGAAAAGAACUCUGAAGAGAGAGUGAAAAAGUACGUGAAAUUGCUGAAAGGGAAGGGCUUGAGGUCAGACUUGGUGUUUAAUGAUUAUCUUCUUUUCUUAAGUUGUGCACUCGUUUUUCACUGGGCCAAUAUCAGUUUUUGUAGUAGAGCACCUCUUGAAAUGUGAUUUCCUUCGGGGAGUGUUAUAGUCUUGAGACGAUCUACUACGGGGACUGAGGACUGCGCGUUAUGCUAGGAUAUUGGCGUAAUGACCUUAAGCCGCCCGUCUUGAAACACGGACCAAGGAGUCUAACGUCUAUGCGAGUGUUUGGGUGUAAAACCCGUACGCGUAAUGAAAGUGAACGUAGGUUGGGGCCUUCGGGUGCACAAUCGACCGAUCCUGACGUUUUCAGAUGGAUUUGAGUAAGAGCAUAGCUGUUGG
rnacentral:rRNA from 1 species